rnacentral:misc_RNA from 1 species
AAACUAUGAGUGUACUGUGAUUUAGACUAGUUGUAUGAAGCAUGUAUGAUAUGAUAUAUUGGCUUUUGAAUCAAGACAAAGGAAAAAAGACUCAGAAAACUCAAGUACAAUGGCAACGAAGGGGAACUGAGACACCGGGAGGUUUCCUCUUCUCACGGAUGAUAGCUUCUUUAAUCAUGGGCAGUUUUUGGUGAACCUUUCUCCAUAUGUAAUUUAUAGCACCAUUUGGAGAUAUAGGACCAAUACCACCUGGUUGACCAUUUUCAUACUCAAAAAUGGGCUGUACUAUAGCCAUAUUACGCCGAAACCUAUCUUUUUGCUCAUAGGAAUAGCUUCGAAGAUGGUUCACGAGCCAACUUGGUUGCAGUGCAUCACUAACUGACACAAACACUGCAAAUUCUGAAUAGUCCACCAUCCCUUCAAAUGGGAGCUCGAUGUUGUCACUAACAAUGACAGGA